rnacentral:rRNA from 1 species
GUAGGGGGCUAGCGUUGUCCGGAAUCAUUGGGCGUAAAGCGCGCGUAGGCUGCCCGGUAAGUCCGCUGUAAAAGUCAAAGGCUCAACCUUUGAAAGCCGGUGGAUACUGCCGGGCUAGAGUCCGGAAGAGGCGAGUAGAAUUCCUGGUGUAGCGGUGGAAUGCGCAGAUAUCAGGAGGAAUACCCAUAGCGAAGGCAGCUCGCUGGGACGGUACUGACGCUGAGGCGCGAAAGCGUGGGGAGCGAACAGGAUUAGAUACCCUGGUAGUCCACGCCGUAAACGAUGGGCACUAGGUGUGGGAGGUGUCGACUCCUCCCGUGCCGACGCUAACGCAUUAAGUGCCCCGCCUGGGGAGUACGGCCGCAAGGCUAAA